CACCUGCCUAGGUUACUGGGACUUGCGAAUACAAGGACAGAAGGAAAAAAGAUAACACCUUUUUUUUUCUCUUCCUCAGGUGCCCCAGCUAUUCAAUAGGAAGAGAAAGGAACUGAAGGAGUAAUUUUUUUUCCUCUUUCCAGAUGGGUAACCAAUCAUCAUCAGUCAGUGAAUACAUCCUGAAUGACUGAGACUCUUUUGAGAAAAAAAAUUAAUAAGCUUUUUUUUUCUAUUUCCUCCUCUGUACUCUCUUUGCAGAUGGGUAAUCACAAGACAUUCACCUCUGGGAAAAGUUUAAUUUGCCCAAACCUUAAACUGCUUGGCAUAAAACAAAAAUGAACUGGGAAGAAAUUAUAAUUCUAACUGAAUGAUCUCUUUUUUGUUGUUGUUGAAACAGAGUCUUGCUCUGUUGCCAGGCUGGAGUGCAGUGGUGCAAUCUCAGCUAACUACAACCUCCGACUCCCAGGUUCAAGUGAUUUCCCUGCCUUAGCCUCCCAAGUAGCUGGGACUAUAGGUGCGCACCACCAUGCCUGGCUAAUUUUUUGUAUUUUAGUAGAGACAGGGUUUCACCAUGUCAGCCAGGAUGGUCUCGAUCUGCUGACCUCAUGAUCCACUCACCUCGGCCUCCCAAAGAGCUGGGAUUACAGGUGUGAGCCACUGAGCUUGGCCAAGUAAUCUCUUGAAGACGGACAAGUUUUACAGUAUACAAAUAACCUCUUUGUCUGCUCCCCCUUUACAGGACUCCAGGCUCCAAAGGCCUCUAUAGCUUAAGGAUGGGGGACCCAGAAGGCUGAAAUGUUGGCAAAAGGGUCUAAUUCCAGAACUUACAAGGAAGUUAAAAAAAUUCCCAAGAAAAAAAACAAACGACCCCGUCAAAAAGUGGGCAAAUUCACAAUUGCUUCAAAGAUAAUAAAAUACCUAGGAAUCCAACUUACAAGGGAUGUGAAGGACCUCUUCAAGGAGAACUACAAACCAAUGCUCAAUGAAAUAAAAGAAGAUACAAACAAAUGGAAGA
rnacentral:lncRNA from 10 species